UGAAGAGUUUGAUCAUGGCUCAGAUUGAACGCUGGCGGCAGGCCUAACACAUGCAAGUCGAACGGUAACAGGAAGCAGCUUGCUGCUUUGCUGACGAGUGGCGGACGGGUGAGUAAUGUCUGGGAAACUGCCUGAUGGAGGGGGAUAACUACUGGAAACGGUGGCUAAUACCGCAUAACGUCGCAAGACCAAAGAGGGGGACCUUCGGGCCUCUUGCCAUCAGAUGUGCCCAGAUGGGAUUAGCUUGUUGGUGAGGUAACGGCUCACCAAGGCGACGAUCCCUAGCUGGUCUGAGAGGAUGACCAGCCACACUGGAACUGAGACACGGUCCAGACUCCUACGGGAGGCAGCAGUGGGGAAUAUUGCACAAUGGGCGCAAGCCUGAUGCAGCCAUGCCGCGUGUAUGAAGAAGGCCUUCGGGUUGUAAAGUACUUUCAGCGGGGAGGAAGGUGUUGUGGUUAAUAACCGCAGCAAUUGACGUUACCCGCAGAAGAAGCACCGGCUAACUCCGUGCCAGCAGCCGCGGUAAUACGGAGGGUGCAAGCGUUAAUCGGAAUUACUGGGCGUAAAGCGCACGCAGGCGGUCUGUCAAGUCGGAUGUGAAAUCCCCGGGCUCAACCUGGGAACUGCAUUCGAAACUGGCAGGCUUGAGUCUUGUAGAGGGGGGUAGAAUUCCAGGUGUAGCGGUGAAAUGCGUAGAGAUCUGGAGGAAUACCGGUGGCGAAGGCGGCCCCCUGGACAAAGACUGACGCUCAGGUGCGAAAGCGUGGGGAGCAAACAGGAUUAGAUACCCUGGUAGUCCACGCCGUAAACGAUGUCUACUUGGAGGUUGUGCCCUUGAGGCGUGGCUUCCGGAGCUAACGCGUUAAGUAGACCGCCUGGGGAGUACGGCCGCAAGGUUAAAACUCAAAUGAAUUGACGGGGGCCCGCACAAGCGGUGGAGCAUGUGGUUUAAUUCGAUGCAACGCGAAGAACCUUACCUGGUCUUGACAUCCACAGAACUUUCCAGAGAUGGAUUGGUGCCUUCGGGAACUGUGAGACAGGUGCUGCAUGGCUGUCGUCAGCUCGUGUUGUGAAAUGUUGGGUUAAGUCCCGCAACGAGCGCAACCCUUAUCC
rnacentral:rRNA from 2 species